rnacentral:rRNA from 1 species
AUACGUAGGGAGCGAGCGUUGUCCGGAUUUACUGGGCGUAAAGGGCGCGUAGGCGGGUAAAUAAGUCAGAUGUGAAAACUAUGGGCUCAACCCAUAGCCUGCAUUUGAAACUGUAUAUCUUGAGGGCAGGAGAGGAAAGUGGAAUUCCUAGUGUAGCGGUGAAAUGCGUAGAUAUUAGGAGGAACACCAGUGGCGAAGGCGACUUUCUGGACUGAACCUGACGCUGAAGCGCGAAAGCAUGGGGAGCAAACAGGAUUAGAUACCCUGGUAGUCCAUGCCGUAAACGAUGAAUACUAGGUGUAGGGGGUAUCGACCCCCUCUGUGCCGCAGUUAACACAAUAAGUAAUCCACCUGGGGAGUACGGCCGCAAGGUUGAAACUCAAAUGAAUUGACGGGG